rnacentral:rRNA from 1 species
UCGGACUGUAGGCUGCAACUCGCCUACACGAAGUCGGAAUCGCUAGUAAUCGCGGAUCAGCAUGCCGCGGUGAAUACGUUCCCGGGCCUUGUACACACCGCCGUCACACCAUGGGAGUUUGUAACGCCCAAAGUCGGUGGCCUAACCUUUAUGGAGGGAGCCGCCUAAGGCGGGACAGAUGACUGGGGUGAAGUCGUAACAAGGUACC